GUCUACAGCCACGCUACUCUGAACAAGCCUGAUGUCUGAUCUCGGAAGCUAAGCAGGGUCAGGCCUGGUUAGUACUUGGAUGGGAGACCACCUAGGAAGACCAGGUGCUGUAGGCG
rnacentral:rRNA from 1 species